rnacentral:lncRNA from 1 species
AUGGGGACCCCGAUCCCAGCUCAUGGGGACCCCAACCCCUCAGAGCUGGGGUACCCCAAUCCCCACCAUGGGGACCCCAAUCCCAGCCCAUGGGGACCCCAACCCCUCAGAGAUGGGGGAUCCCCAACCCCAUUUCCCCUCAGCUCUGGGGGUCCCCCCACCCCACUCUCCCCACUUUGGGGGUCCCCUCACCCUCAGCCCCAUUUUCUCUUGGCUAUGGGACCCCAGCCCCAUUUCCCCUCAGCUCUGGGGUUCCCUCCACCCCACUCCCCCCACUUCGGGGGUCCCCUACCCUAUUUCCCCCCACUUUGGGGGUCCCCCCUCCCCAAUUUCGGGGGUCGCCCCAUUUCCCCCCCACUUUGGGGUCCCUCCACCCCAUUUCCCCUCAGCUCUCAGACCCCCAUCCCAGCCCCAUUUCCCCUCGGCUCCAGGGAUUCCUCUACCCCCACUGCCCCCAUUUUGGGGGUCCCCACUCCCCCAGUUUGGGGGUCCCCCCGGCCCAGGACGCAUAAAACGCCCCCGCGGUGGCGGCGGGGGCCAAACCAAAGCUGUCCCCGAGCAGGGGACACCCACGAGCACCUCAGCAGCGCCCGCUGCCCCCCUGCCCUCACUUUGGGGACUUUUGGGGACUUUUCCCCCCUUCUCCCCUCCCCUCCCCUCCCCCACGGCGCUCAGGGGUUCCCCCCAAUCCCAGACCCCCUUUUUGGGUGCCCCCUCAAGCCUCCCUCAGCGCCGGAACCAACCCAAAAAAGGGGCUUGGAACCCCAAACUGGGGCUACAAAACCCCAAACUGGGGCUCAGAACCCCAAACUGGGGCUUUUGAACCCCAAAUCAAAGCUCUGCCCUUUCCAGCUCCAUCUGGGGCUGGUUGGGUUGGGGUUUUUUCCCUCCUUUUUCGUUUCUUUUUUCCAUUUUCUUUCUCUUCUUUUCCCUUUCUCCCCCCUUUUCUUUUUCCCCUGUUCCUUCUUUUUCCCUUUUCCCUCUUUUCCCCUCUUUUCCCCUUUUCCAUUUUAUUUCCCUUUUUCUCCUUUUCCAUUUUAUUUCCCUUUUCCCCCCCUUUUCAAUUUUAUUUCCCUUUCCCCCCCUUUUUCCCCCCUUCUUUUUUCCUUUUUAUUUCCCUUUUUUCCCCAUUUUCUCCCCUUUUUUCCCCCAUUUCCCACUUCUUUCCCCCAUUUUUCCCCCUCUUUCCCCCCCCCCAUUUUCCCCCCGUUUUUUCGGCGUCAGACCCGAAACUGUAGGAAUUUUCUAAGACCUCCAGGUGGCUUUAUCCCUGUAAAUAUCUAUUUUUUAAACCUGACAGAUGAAGAACAAACGAGGAUGUGCAAUACCCCCAAUUUCCCCCCAAAUCCCGAGGAAUUCACGGAUUUGCUGUUGUAUUUUUCAUUUAUUUUAAUUUUUCCCCCCCUUUUUUUUUUUUUGUGA